UACGUAGGGUGCAAGCGUUAAUCGGAAUUACUGGGCGUAAAGCGUGCGCAGGCGGUUAUGUAAGACAGAUGUGAAAUGCCCGGGCUUAACCUGGGAACUGCAUUUGUGACUGCGAUGGCUAGAAUCUGGCAGAGGGGGGGUAGAAUUCCACGUGUAGCAGUGAAAUGCGUAGAGAUGUGGAGGAACACCGAUGGCGAAGGCAGCCCCCUGGGUCAAGAUUGACGCUCAUGCACGAAAGCGUGGGGAGCAAACAGG
rnacentral:rRNA from 1 species